ACCCUACUUUCAGGGAGUAUGAUUACGUUUCUGACUCAGACGAUGACUGUGAGCCUGUGAAGAUAGCCAGUCAAGGACGUCUCAGCCAGAGCAUUCGUUGCAAGUACACAUACACUAAGGAGUGCAAGGGGAGGAUUCGUGCUGACAAGAGCCGGGAAAGUUCAUGGAAACAAAACAUAAGUGAGUGCGUUGAUCCCAAGAAAGCUUUGGAUGUCUCUCCAUCCUUGAUGAAAGACAACCCUGGUCACCAAAGUCUCAGAAGAAGGAGCAGUAGGUCUUCCACAAGUAGUGAACUCAGUACAUCAAUAAGUAUUUGCAGUGAUAGCAUUGGCAGCCCGAAAAGUACUGAUCAUACAGAUUCAGACUCUGAGAAACGAAUAGAAGCACAGAGGAAAGAUCAAAACUCUCUUGAACAGAAUGCAUAUGAAGAAUCGCCACCAAGGAUACGGAAAGAGUCUAGCACAUCACUGGCAUUGACCUUUACAAAAAAUACAAAAAGGUACAGCACUGAUAAGAUAUUACUCACUGAGCACAAUGAUCGGUUCACUUCUUCAAAAUGUUCAAGCAUAAUCUGUAAAACGGAAGAGACUGCAUCAGAGCAUAAAAUGACUAAAAGUACUGUCAGCCUUGCCAGAUUCAAAACCACCAGAUUGGAAAUAGAGGAAAAAGGGGACCACCUCGGGUUUGAGGGAGGAAUUCUUGCAACCACAGAAGAGCCAUUCAAAAAAGAUUACCCAAAAAAUAUCACAUCACCAAGAGGGUCUGGUAUAACACCAAAUCCAAUGGAAACAACCAACAAUAGUGAUUCUAGCCAUGUUUUUAAACUCAAAAAAGAUGCUGUCACAUCAAAGAGUAAAUCCCACAGGAAAAGAACAAAUAGUUCUGAAAUGUCAGCACCCAUUUUUGAGAAAGCCAGCAAUGACAGCAUAUCAAGUGAAGAAGCCAGUAGAAGCUCAAAUGAUCUAUUCCCUGACCCCCCACCUCUCUGCAGUUCACUUGCGGACAAAGUCUGUUUAUCACCUUCAAAAGUCCAUGAUGCUACAGCACAAAAGAAUGCGCAAUGUCUCAUUCCCUAUCCUUCAGAGCAUGAUCAGAGUCUUAUAAAGUCACCCCUUUCUUUUGACACAACGUCAAUGUUUGGUGACCUUUCGGUGGGAGGUUUUGAGAGCAAUCUUUAUCCAGAUAUUCAGCUGGCCAAAGAGAGCUUUAGUCCUCUGGAAACCAUAACAGAUAAGAAGGAACUUUUUGAGUCAUCAUUCUCACCAUUCUUAGAGCAGAGAGACUGGAAUCUGAUGGUGGAUGUUACUCCUGUGCUGCCAGAUGAGAUUUCUCAGUACAAAGAGGACUCUGACUCAAAUGAGAAUAAGACCAAUUUCAACCAUGUCCCAUUUGCUUUGCCAGAGAAAUUAAUGGACUACAAUCCAAACCUCAAUAGUAACGUGUCAGUUGAUGAUCUGGAAAUCAAAAGGAUAGUUACAGAGCUUGAGAGUCAGCUGCAAACAGCCAAACUCAGCAGCCCUCCACCAUUAGACAGUGAGCUUCCAAAACAGUUAACCAUGAGCAAAUUCUCUCCAUUGAGACUUGACCCUGACAGUGAAGAUGAGGACAGUAGCUUACAGAUGAACUGUUCCUCAGAGAACUUGCAAAUUGUCAGACCAGUAGACUCACAAUCAGCGCUGUUCUCAGAACCUGACUUACCAUGGUCUAGUCCGCUUCCAUUUGGAUUGAUGUGUGGACAGCAAGGUCUUCAUACGCCAACACAUUCCUCUACUAUCAACACACCAACUGAUUCAGAAAAUGACCAUUUAGAUAUAAAGGACAGCAUGGGGCUCACAGUUUUGAAUGCAGAAAAUGGUUCACCUAUGCAUCCAGAGGACAAAACAGAGAAGAAUGACUCUUUAGAUAAGUCAGAGGAGAUGCUUGAGCAUGAAAUUUACACAGAAAAUCUGAUGAAAAGCUUGGAAGUGAUCUCAGAUUCUUUGUCUUCAGGUUUUACAUCACCUCAGUCGUCUCCUAAUCAAGAGAGUGUGGUUCCUGAAGAGCAUGAAAAACAAGAGAAUGAACACUCUGAACAAAAUAUGUCUGAGCAUGUAGAAUCUAGAAACACAAAAGCAGAGCUUACAAAGUUCUCAGUGGAGACAUUUAACACAAACACCACUACACUAGAAGAGACAACCAGUGAAAUUUCUGGGUCAGAUAACGGAACAAAGGUCUACAUAAAUGAGACUAGUAAUAACACUCUGCAUGAUGAAUUAGUAGCUAAUGAACAACAGCUUGCAGAGAGUUCCUUUGAGAGUCCACCAACUACAUGCGUGAACUCAAAUGAAAUUGAUUCACAGACGUCUUCGGUCUUCAUAUAUGAACACAAGUGUGAGUCCCCUGUCAACCAAACUGAAAUUGCCGAGUGUAAUACACAGUUUCAUAUUAAGGACUCAAAUUACACUAUGCAGAAUUCAGACUUCUCCAAAAUAUUCCACUUCUCAGCAUCCCCUACCAUACCAAAAGAUGAAAACGCCCUGUGUGUAGAAAAAAUACAGAAAUGCGAUGAAGAUUCAGCUCUAACUGCAAAGCCAGAAAUAAUUUCUGAAGACAAUGGGCAUGCAACAGAUGAAACAACAGACUGUACAUCUGAUACAGAAAUCCAACAACCCAUUUCAAACAUCACAUCUCCUCAUUGUGAAGACCAAUUGUCAGCCCAUUCACAAUUAAUUCAUACACAACAGUUGGUUUCUCCUAAACAUCUUCCUGUAGUUCAAGAUGAACAUGAAUAUAUAGACAGUAUGGAGAGAGCCAUGCCUGAUAUGACAUUAUUUUCUGUGCAAUCAGAAUGUGAAGAUAAUCAACAAAAGAACACUGAGCAGAGUCCUCAACUUAUUAUUUUGACUCAGGCACCAGAGUUUUCUUACAAGUCUAUCCAAAGUCCUUCUGAGCUGAGAGAUAAUUGUCCACUACCAAGCACAAUUACCCCUUCACUAAGUAAAAGCAGACCAGCCCUGGAAGACAAUAACUCAGAUCACAUAAAUAUUGGCAAGUCAGAUACUUUUGUUCCAGCAACAACAGAAUUAGAUAAUUCAUUUAAUCCCCAUCUGGAUUUAGUAGAAAUUACAGGGAGUAAAAUUUCUAGCCCUGGGACAUUGUUGGCUGUGGACAAAAUCUCAAAACAACCUUUUUCUGAGCAUUCUGGGACACUGGAUAACUCUCAAGAUGAUUUGAAACUCAGCCCCCUGAAUUACAGUGAAGCAUGUUUCAAUGAAUACAGCUUCAACUCUAAAUUUUCAAACAAAGGAAAUGACAAGCCUUAUGUAAAAUCAAACUCUACAGACAGUUACAUUCUCAAUGCCUGUGCUUUCUCUCAUGAUAAACCAUUGUCAUCCAGCCCAACAUAUAAUGCAAAUGAACAGGCGCCAAAUAUUCAGGGCCAUCUGACUGGACUUGAUAUACCCAAAACUUCUAUAAAUAAUAAACAAAAUUAUAUCAAAUAUUCAAGUGGCUCAGCUUCCUGCAGUAAUUAUGUUGAGGAAGGCAGUACAAUUAUCUCUGAACAAAUCUUAAAACUUGGCCAAACUGACAUGGAUGUUAGUCACCUUCCACCUGAAUCUGUUGAUGACAUGGAUCUGCACCUCAAAUUUCACAAGAAAGCAGAUUAUGAAAAGAUGGACCACCAGAUGAUCAUCAAUGAGAAUGAUGCAAUGCAGAGGUCAACAAUGUCAGAUGUUAAGGAGAUACCUAAACCUCUGAUACAAUAUGCAAAAGCAGCAUCCAUGGGUCUCCCAUUCACAUCAGUCCAAAAUGAAGGACAAAGUUUAAAGUCAAAUGAGACAAAAACAUCACAAAAAAAGGGUGGUACACAUAAUGCAGUUCAAGGAAAAUUUCAGU
ensembl:lncRNA